rnacentral:rRNA from 1 species
CAAUAGCGUAUAUUAAAGUUGUUGCAGUUAAAAAGCUCGUAGUUGGAUUUCUGGUAGGAGCGACCGGUCCGCCCUGUUAAGGGUGUGUACUAGCGUUGUCUCUGGCCAUCCUUGGGGGAACUGCGCGGGGAGACUUGCGUUAGGGAACCCAUCGUUUACUGUGAAAAAUUAGAGUGUUUAAAGCAGGCUUAUGCCGUUGAAUACAUUAGCAUGGAAUAAUAAGAUAGGACUUUGGUGGUCUAUUUUGUUGGUUUGCACACCAAGGUAAUGAUUAAUAGGGAUAGUUGGGGGUAUUCGUAUUUAAUUGUCAGAGGUGAAAUUCUUGGAUUUAUGAAAGACGAACUACUGCGAAAGCAUUUACCAAAGAUGUUUUCAUUAAUCAAGAACGAAAGUUAGGGGAUCGAAGAUGAUCAGAUACCAU